CUUAACCCCUCUCAUGCAACAUUUGCAGAAAAGUCCCUCAACAAAGCCUCUCUUGCAACAGCCCAAACUGGGCCAUUUUCGCGCUCGGGGACCGGUCCUUGCGAUGAGAGACCGGUCCCUGAGAGACCGGUCCUUGGCUGAGAGACCGGUCCCCGAAGGUCCAGAACUCAGCCUCAAGGACUUAGCCAAAUUUUCAGCAUUUUCGCCCGUUUUCGUCCGUUUUCGCUCGUUGACUUCCGAUUCGUCUCAAAUCGAACCGAGACUCUCCAAAUAUGUUUCCAAACAUGUUUUCAUCAUCUUUCCAUCCUCGCUAAUGCUGGAUUUAGCUCACGGCCCAACUUAGCCUUCUGGGUUCCGUUUUCGCGCCUAUGCGCACCGAAACGCCCGAUUGCCCCAGAACUUCACCAAACUUCACCGGGACCAUUCAAACAGCUCUCCAACCAAAUGUACACCGUAACUUCAUGAUUUUAGAAGUCCG
rnacentral:lncRNA from 1 species